AAGUCGUAACAAGGUUUCCGUAGGUGAACCUGCGGAAGGAUCAUUAACACAUCCCAUUUCCAAUUUCAUACCUUUGUGAACAGUCGAUGCCACGAGAUGGUUGGACGAUUUGCACUAUGGUUUCAGAGCCUGCUCUCUUACCUUAACACGGGAGAGGGUGAGCUGGUGCUGUCGACCUGCUGCCGGGGCGCAACCGGGCUCUCUUUCAUUAGAGCUGCUCGGAAGCGUGCUUAGCCGGCCAAGAACCUAUCGUCGGUAAUUCAGCUUCUACCAUGGCUGGCCCUUUUUUUUCUUUCAACAAACCUGCAGCUUCUUACUGAUUUUCGGCUUCGGAUCGAGAGGAGCAAUCCUUUCUUCGAGGUCUUCGGAUUUUUCAACAAUCCAAAACACAACUCUUAACAGCGGAUAUCUCGGUUCUC
rnacentral:misc_RNA from 1 species